rnacentral:rRNA from 1 species
CAGCAGCCACGGGAAUACGUAGGGUGCGAGCGUUAAUCGGAAUUACUGGGCGUAAAGCGUGCGCAGGCGGUUGUGUAAGACAGGUGUGAAAUCCCCGGGCUUAACCUGGGAACUGCGCUUGUGACUGCACAGCUAGAGUAUGGCAGAGGGGGGUGGAAUUCCACGUGUAGCAGUGAAAUGCGUAGAGAUGUGGAGGAACACCGAUGGCGAAGGCAGCCCCCUGGGCCAAUACUGACGCUCAUGCACGAAAGCGUGGGGAGCAGACAGGAUUAGAUACCCCCGUAGUCCCUGUCUCUUAUAC